AAGGUUCAGCGGGCGAGCGGGGGAGGAGGAGGAGGUGGAGGGGGAGGGUACUUUGGGAUCAAGGGGAGGUUUUGGGACGGGGGUCGUGGGCGCGGGCGGGCGGGCGGUACCGCGGGGGCGAGGUCCGCGGCCUGAUGUCCAUGCAGUGGCUCCUCACGGAGGCGCUUACCUUCCCGGUCAGGCGGCGGCGGAAGGCGGAGGGCCUAGGCCAGGGGUCCCGGGCGAAGGAGAUGCUCGAGACGACCCGCUACCACGCCCCCCUGGACGGCGGCGUCUUCACGGCCCGCCGCGACCUAAGCCACCACAAGCACCUCCUCCGCGCCGUCCUCCUCAGGCCGAGGCACGAACGGCUGUAGCAGCGCGUGGAUCCCGUCCUAUAAUGGUAAAGACCACUUAUAGCGUCGGCAGAACAGUUUUACUGAUUCAGUGAGCACCUCAGAAGUAACUAACACGGAUCCGAAGAAGUUCUCGCUACACUGCUUCUCAAGGAUACCCUCCAACUUGACUCAUUCAGUUUUCCGGUCCUAAAUUUUCGGUUCCUCCAGUCUCAGUUGUGUGCUGAAGAAAUAGUCGUUUGAUUUAAGUUGGAACAUUCUCUCCUUUCACUCCCGAUACGGUUCAACCAUUGGGAUGAAACAGUUCAUCCAAGUCUAAACCGAACGGUUUUAUGAAGAAGUCGUUGAUAGUCGUAACAUUUCAGUAAUUAACCUGUAAAACUGGACCUGGGCUUAGCACAUAAACUGUAACACAACCUUACAAAACUUGAGAUAGGUCUGUUGUCAUAGAAAAUAGUCGAAUAUGGAGAAAAAGGUUUCAGGGUACGACGAGUUUAAAACCCCAAAUUUAAAGUUAUAAUAGUUGUUAACCUACAUUUGUCGGGACAAGGUAGACCAGAAAAGGCUUAUCGUCGCGACAACCAGUUUAGACCGGAAUAACUGGAACUAUUAGAGAUGCGAGUAAAUGAAGGCUUACUACUACUCCGCAAACUCGUAAAACCGAGGAAACAAAGUUCCUUUUAACUACUCCGAUGAUUUUAUCCGUUUUAUUUAGAACGACGAUGACCUUUCCUGGAAUACCUACUUCUCUUCGUUCUUUAUUGCUAGCUAAAUAUGUGUCGUGACCUCUACCUUUUACUAUAUUAACUACUUGCUCGGGGACUCUAUCUUUUCUUGGUCUUCGAACCUGAAGAAGAACCAAAGGAGAGUCAGGUACUAACCCUGGUACGUGUCGAUGAUAAACUUGCAGAACGCGUCGAUUUAGGACAGCUCGUGCAACUUUAAACACUACGAAAUAAAUCUUAACAACUCUUCUGAUAAAGCAGUCGGAUGUCAUGUAUAACAGUUUGUGUAGUAUUUUAGUGGGCAUUGUAGUUGUGAGUAUACAACCUACGUAGUAGACAGAGAAGUGGUUCAAUAAACCAACUAGACGGUUUCCUCAAAAAGGUUUACGAACGGCGAACACCUGGUAUGGAAGUGGCACUGUGUGUUAAUAAGGUCUUCCAAACGUCUCACAAUUUCCACAUAGUACGGAGCAGUUUUCUUAGUCGGGCAUGUCGUCCACAUUACAGAGGUCUUAGAGUCCAACUUCUUCGUGAACCCAGUACGAACGAAGGAAGUGACGUCGAAUAUGGACGGUUAGGACGACAACUAUACCUCUACACCCCUCAAGAAAGGGAAGAAGGAAUACUCCACGCGAUAGCAAACAUACCACUCACCCUCUUCCUGUGACUUGUUUUGGGUUAACAGGAACGACGUUCCGUUUGUCGUUUCGACCUGUGGUCUGCCGAGAAUUUUGCCGACCGGUUCCUUUUAGACUUCGUCGAACCGGCGUACCACCGAUUUGAACGAGUACGUUUAGGUUACUGACACGAAGCCUGUUAACAGGUUGUCCAACUUCGUAUGUCCCUGUACUAUUUAGGUCAACACCUACGAAAAUUUAUGAACUGAGUCGACCUUAUACUAUAAAACGUUAUAUAACAUUAGCUUGCCAACCGAGUUCCACCAGCACUCUUUCAUUUCCUACUGCCGGAAUUGGACAGUCUGACCGAAGUCACAGACCGUAGUAAGACCCCUGUGGAGACGUUCUUCGUAGUAAGGUACCUCGAAUUUACGGAGAAGGUUAUGUAUCAAUUAGUUGACUUCUUUCCUAACCCAUGACUCGAACAACAUGAACUCCUUGAGUAAGUCGUUUACCGUUUACAUGUCAUGUGACUCUUGUACUGACUACUUGUCCAACUACGAUACCGUCCUUCACUUUGCAACGCCGAAGUUAGAAGCGACAAACCUAGUUGUGCCUUGAUAUUCCAGGACUUAUUCAGAUAAUUGUUUAACGCCCUAAGAAACGAAGGUUUUCUACUUGGGUUUGAACGUUAAGGAGAUGAUGACGAGUAACGGGUUGUGUCUAGGUUCUAAUAUUAUUUACGUCUACGGUGUAUAUAGUUUUACCAAUCGCUCGUCAAGCUAUCUACGGUACCUUAUGAUGAAGUCAUACGGCUCAAAGAAAGUUCACGGUAUCGAGGUAGUUGGAUACAAGUUGAUUAUGGAGGCGACCUUCUAGACCAAAUAUUUAUAGUAUAGCUCGGUCUGCAACGAAAAGAAUAUAUGGCCGGACAUUACUCCGAAAAGUCUUCGCGAUUGCCACCGCUCCGGACAACCGGAGACCUACUGUUACUUCCCCUCAGACAUAGUAUACUACUUUACUAGAACGUACCGCUAAGUAGAGUCUUCAGUUAGUACACCAGUCUAGAAGAGUUGUGUUAGGCUUGUUAAAACGGUCGUUUUCGCACCUUGCCAGAAAGUGGACUUAACAUACGAUGAAAGACCCCAAAUUGUGACAUACUAGAAGUAAAAGGUUUUCUAGCAAUACUACGUCUUUAGUUCUUCGACGUACUUUUAGAGUUUGUUGAACUUCUAUCGAGUCUAUUGAGAUCGUAACGUUAUAGUGCCGCAUUCUUCCUGUUCCUCUCUUAGGUUCUAAACGACCUGUUUAACUUGUUACUUAGACUGUUCGUAGUUGUCGUGCAAUAUAGUCACGAGGUUUCCGAUUGGGCACUUUUCCUAUUUACCGACUCAAGGUCAGGCCUGCGUGACUUCUAGUUGUACCUUAAAGAGGUCGCCACGUAUAUAGGUGCGACACAAGAAUCGUACGUCCUACGACACAUAACACGAUGUAAGCAGGUCUACUACGUAAGUGAACCCUGAGGUAAAAAGUUGUGCCACUUAGUAUAUCUACAAAAGUAGACGUUCUGUGAUGUCGGUUACUAGACAACAACAUGGCUUAUACUCCGACCGUCCGAACCUUCCAAAGAAGUACUCUGGGACUUCUACCGAAUGGUAACCUUCUCACUGCUUAGUCAUAUACUCGCACUUACACCUUUAUUCGGCCCUAAGCGACAUAUGAAGUCUAAAGGUUUAUCAGUUGCGCAUAGAAUAGGAGUCAAGCAAUUUCAAGUAACCUUUACCUCACCUUCUUAAUGGUUCCACGAAUUAGUUACAUACCUUAGUUUUCUUAUGUACCUUUAGUCUUUGCGGGAAUAACAAGAGUGUUUCUAUUGAUCAUAAAAAGGACACUACGCUUUUUCGCCAUAGUUGUAACUCUUUUCCCAACGCUUCGAUUUCCCCCUACUCUCUCUUCUAGACUUUCAUGACCGGUGACCACAUCGACGACGAGACCGUCGAGCCUUCUCAAGUACCCAUAGACUUCUUCUCAAACCGUACCCAGUGGAACUAGACUUCGGUCACGGACGUUAUGGAUAACGACCUUUAGUCAUACGUCUAGGGAGCUGUCGUUUUCUAGUGUCGCAAGCACGUUUUAGACAUCUCCCAUCCGUACUUUCCAGUCUUUUACGUUACUUCGGACUACGGGUAUUCUUCUUACGGAGCUGAUGUUUGCCUAGACUAUAAGUUUAUGGUAGAAGGAGACGUGUUCCUUUUCCAAGUCCCCAACGUGCACCACACCUACUUGGAGACUUUGAAAACAGGCUACUACCUCAAUUUCAGAACUUCGGAUGACGUCUUGGACUCUGUUCUCGCCGUGUUUUCGCACGACAUGUUUUACGACGUUUCCAUAGAUUCGUACUACACCACUUCCUUCUACGUUUUGGACCCUCUAGAUGAUCGUCCCCAGAAUUAGUUGUUUGGAGACGAUAAGGACAACUGUCUCUUCAUAACAGAGUCCGUCGACUACCACACGACCUAUGAUUAGGGUGAUCAGGCAACCAACCGUGUUUACCAUUAUAUGUAGGCCGUGGUGCUUUCCAUAGACGUAGGAGGGUUUCUAGUUGUCAUAACCGACGUGUAUCGCCACCUUGUCGAUUAGGGUGGCCACUUCCACUUAGACGACUGAACUAACUAAGAUGGCACUUUGUCGUUUUUUCUAGACAAGGGCAACUUCUUGUUCUCUCCUGUCCAUUUGCUUCCUUUCCUCUCUAACUUCCGUCCCUACCACUGAACUGCCUCGUGGUAUGCCUGUUUCUUUUUUUUAACCUGAGUGCUAGUCAUCUAUUUAGAGCAAGACACCUAGUACUCUCUCCACGAUCACUCCUUGUUUUGGAUUAAGCCCGUCUCUUUAAUUUUCUUUUCAAGCUACUAUUUAUACUGUCUCUAGUAUCUCUUUUUCGUCUGGCCAGGCUCUCCGCGGCACCUCUUCUGCACCAACUUUCUGGUUGUCUGUCUAGUAACCUUUCCUCUCUCGCAAGAUAACUUUUCUACGUUCUGUCUCAAGGACUUUUUCCUUCUCUUCUGUCCUUAUUCCUCCUCUCCUUGUUUUAAUUCGUACUUGGGUAUCUAGCUCGUAUACGAUAAUUCUUACUUGGGUAUCUAGCUCGUAUACGAUAAUUCUUACUUGGGUAUCUGGCUCGUGUAUGACAAUUCGUACUUGGGUAUCUGGCUCGUGUAUGAAGACUACUUGCGAAGGCUCCCGUUUCGAACGGUGGUGGAGGUGGAGAAGGUUGAUCAAAACAUGGGGUUAGUCAGCGACGAUUGGCUUCUCUACUUCUGUCACUGGCUUCCCCGUCGUCGUGGUCCGUAUGGGUUGCCAGCAGAGGGUCCGCACUACUCUUUCUUUCCACCGUGAACCUCCUCUUACGAGGCGAGAGUGUCCUACUACCCUUCGUGGCUUCUCUCCUUCUAGAGGCCCUAUCUUUCGCACUUCUAUCCCUACAAAGUAGUUCGUUCCAUCUGCUGUCCCUAUCCCUGUUUCAAUUAUGACACUUUCUUCUAUCACUAGGAUUAUCACGUAGGUUUGCCGCCUUCCAAUUUUCUCUUGUCAGACGAAACCUUCGACCCCUUAUGCGCGGAAGACGAGGUGUCGGAGGCUCGCAACCUGGACCAUUGAGUGUCAAACUUUAUGCUCUCUCUCUUUCUUUCCCACGAUAAAGUGUCGUAGCCGGUAGUGUACGACUACUGGAAGGAUCCUACGUACGGUUCCUAAGUUGUUCGUUCUGUUCAGCAUCUCUCCGACUGGUUUGUGUACUAUCUCUCACCCUUCUCCUCUUCUCCGGUUCCUGACUUCGUUUUUCCUUCGUAGCCUUCAUCCAAGGACGCCCACAGAACUACUAACAGUGUAUUGUUCUAAAGUGAACCACUGCGCGUGGACGCUUGUUCAGCGAAAGAACUUCGUCCUUCUACAUAGACCCGUAUAAACUUGGUAAGUCGCACAUACGGAGUGAGGUACCGAAAUCUGUCCAAACGACCCCGCCUUCCCGUGGCUGUCCUAUUUGGGAAGUCGUCACGAAGCAGAUACGACAGGUCUACGUUUAACAACGCUUGUUACAACUAACGUUCCUUGUCUGUACCAGCCAAUAUGUUCAGCAAUAUUUGCAAAAUCGUUACACCUUACAUUCCUUGUUAUGAUACCCGGUAUGGUAACUGAAUCUGCCUAAACGACAUUUGUUCCUACUCGUCAAACAGCAGGUCGAUAAAAACAUUAAGUAAAACAUGAUUAACGUCUCUCAUAACAACACCCUUCGUAAACCCGAAGGAAAAAAACGUGGCAGAUCCUCCUUAUCAUCCCCUCGCCCAACACUCAUCCAACAUGUACAUGUCAAUGUUACCAUCGUACUUGGCAGCACAAGAUCUACAAUUUGACUCUUCCAAGAUCUACAAUUUGACUCUUCCAACGUACUUGGCAGCACAAGAUCUACAAUUUGACUCUUCCAAGAUCUACAAUUUGACUCUUCCAACGUACUUGGCAACACAAGAUACAAUUGACUCUACCAAC
rnacentral:rRNA from 1 species